rnacentral:rRNA from 1 species
UGGGGAAUUUUGCACAAUGGGGGAAACCCUGAUGCAGCGACGCCGCGUGAUUUAGAAGGCCUUCGGGUUGUAAAAAUCUUUUCUAUGGGAAGAAAAUGACAGUACCAUAGGAAUAAGGACCGGCUAAUUACGUGCCAGCAGCCGCGGUAAUACGUAGGUCCCGAGCGUUGUCCGGAUUUAUUGGGCGUAAAGCGAGCGCAGGCGGUCAAUUAAGUCUGAUGUGAAAGCCCCCGGCUCAACCGGGGAGGGUCAUUGGAAACUGGUUGACUUGAGUGCAGAAGAGGAGAGUGGAAUUCCAUGUGUAGCGGUGAAAUGCGUAGAUAUAUGGAGGAACACCGGUGGCGAAAGCGGCUCUCUGGUCUGUAACUGACGCUGAGGCUCGAAAGCGUGGGGAGCGAACAGG